AGCUGAUCACUGGGCGUAAAGAGUGCGCAGGCGGUUUUGUAAGGCAGAGGUGAAAUCCCCGGGCUCAACCUGGGAACUGCCUUUGUGACUGCAAGGCUGGAGUGCGGCAGAGGGGGAUGGAAUUCCGCGUGUAGCAGUGAAAUGCGUAGAUAUGCGGAGGAACACCGAUGGCGAAGGCAAUCCCCUGGGCCUGCACUGACGCUCAUGCACGAAAGCGUGGGGAGCAAACA
rnacentral:rRNA from 1 species